UACGAGUGGCCCAAGCGUUAUCCGGAAUUACUGGGCGUAAAGGGCGCGUAGGCGGUUUGGUAAGUCGGCUGUGAAAUCCCGGGGCUUAACUCCGGACGUGCAUUUGAAACUGCGAGACUAGAGUGCAGUAGAGGAUGGUAGAAUUCCCAGUGUAGCAGUGAAAUGCGUAGAGAUGUGGAGGAAUACCGAUGGCGAAGGCAGCCCCCUGGGCCAAUACUGACGCUCAUGCACGAAAGCGUGGGGAGCAAACAGG
rnacentral:rRNA from 1 species